UACAGAGGGUGCGAGCGUUGUCCGGAAUUAUUGGGCGUAAAGCGCUUGUAGGCGGCCUGUCAAGUCGCGUGUGAAAUCCCCUGGCUUAACCAGGGAAGUGCGCGCGAAACUGGCGGGCUUGAGUGCCGGAGAGGGUCGCGGAAUUCCCGGUGUAGAGGUGAAAUUCGUAGAUAUCGGGAGGAACACCAGUGGCGAAGGCGGCGACCUGGACGGACACUGACGCUGAGACGCGAAAGCGUGGGGAGCAAACAGG
rnacentral:rRNA from 1 species